AACAUCAUGCGCUUAGAGUGAAUCAGUCAAGUGUUAGCUAUGGCGGUUACUUUGCGAUCUUAACCUUAACCAGAGGCGCCUAGUGGCAUGGAUUGGACGUAUAAAAUCCAGGAUUUAUCCGAGUUUGUGGGAAUUUAUAAAUAAGUAUGCAGUGUACGAUAGGUAUGACGCUUACACUAUAAAGUUUCCAAAUCGGUAAGAAAUGACCGAGUUACAACUUGCCACAUCAUUAGCAGAAAUUCCAUAGUUAAUGACAGCAAUUCUUGUUGUGUAACAGACUGAUCCGUUAUGUGAGUCUCCUUCUUCAUCGCCCUUCAUUUUAUCUGUUUUUCAGACUGUGACUGAAACUUUGCUACUCUUCGGCAUCUCAUCAUUCAUCAUUAUUCCCUCAAUUACCCGCAUGGCAAGGUUCCAAGUUGUUUGAUUUACAUGGGCAGCGGCUGUGGAUGCGAUCACCUCAUGUUGAUGCAAAGAACGAGGUUUUCGACAUUAAACAAACAAUGUAAAAGUUCGCAUAAUUUAAUUUUAGAAUAAAAAAAAAGAGAUUCAAUUCGUGUGUGUGUGACCGCAGCUGGUAAGGUGGUGCAGUCUCUUUUAACUGCUUGUAACUUCUGACUGAAAUACGUUAUCAUUAUAUGGACCGCAUAUUUAAAUACAGCAAAUUCCGAAAAUUCCAGCGGUGUGUGCAACACUUCGAAGAAACAACUUCCGGGAUUUCUUGUCCCUUGCCCUGUCACCCAAAAACACUACUUUGUCACUGAAUGAGGGAGAGAUCCUGUGUUAAAAAGGAUAUAACGUCUCCCUAAAAACCAUGAGCAUGCACUACGUAUUGCAUUUACUCUCAAAAUUCUCCAUUUUGCAUGGGUGACAUAAUUAUACAAUUUUUCACUAUGGAAUUUUUGUACGAUCAGAUUUGUGUGGCGUUUAAAGAAAUGACGUACAUCCUGUACAUUCCAGAAAACUAAUACAUUCUGUCAACAUCGGAACUGAAAAUGUAGAAAGCCAAAAUUUAUUUACGAUUCCUGCCCAGCUGUAAUCAUGGUUUACCUGAUGAUGAUGAUUCACUGAUGACAAUUUUUCAGAGAAGCCUUCUUGAAUCUAAAAGUUAUUUGAUGAAAACGACUCUUGAUGCGAACAAGAAUCUGAGAGCGGAGCGAUGACAAUAUUCUUGGUGGUUGGACGAACUGUUUUGUCGGCCAUUUGAAGAAGACCGCGGAUUUUGAAAUCAGGAUUUGAUCGUUUUGGUUUAAAAACUGGCCAAUGGGAGAAGAGUUAGGGACAAAAAGAUUUGAGACUACUGAACCAGCCUCGGAUCUGUGAUUAGGAAACAAGAAAAAAAAAGUAUGAAAUGAAAACAGUUUUUGUUCA